CCUACGGGUGGCAGCAGUGGGGAAUAUUGGGCAAUGGGCGCAAGCCUGACCCAGCAACGCCGCGUGAAGGAAGAAGGCUUUCGGGUUGUAAACUUCUUUUAUGAGGGACGAAAGAAAUGACGGUACCUCAUGAAUAAGCCACGGCUAACUACGUGCCAGCAGCCGCGGUAAUACGUAGGUGGCAAGCGUUAUCGGGAUUUACUGGGUGUAAAGGGCGUUUAGGCGGGACUGAAAGUCAGAUGUGAAAAUUAUGGGCUAAACCCAUAACCUGCAUUUGAAACUGUAGUUCUUGGGUGAGGGGGAGGCAGGCGGAAUUCUGGGUGUGGCGGGGAAAGGGG
rnacentral:rRNA from 1 species